AAAAUACCUAGGAAUAAGUUUAAUCUAGGAGGUGAAAGACCUGUGCACUGAAAACUGUAAGGUAUUGUUGAAAGAAAUUGAAGAAGACACUUUCUUCGAUGGAAAUGUAUUCAUGCUUAUGGACUGGAAGAAUUAACACUGUUAACUUGUCCAUAUUAUCUAGAGCAAUCCACCUCUUCAGUGCAGUCCCUACCAAAAUCCUGAGGACAUUUCCCACAGAAAUAGAACCCCAAACACUCCAAAAUUUGAAUGGAACCACAGAAGACCCUGAGUAGCAAAAGCAAUCUUGAGGAAAAAAGAACAAAGCUGGAGGUAUGACACACCCUGAUUUCAAAGUAUAUUACAAAGCCAUCAUAAACAGAAUAGGCUUUUCUGCCCGCUCCCCCCUCCCUCCUCCCCCGGAGUGCCGCUCCGGCUGCACCGCGCCCGCUCUGAGCUCCUGGUUCCUGCUAAGCUAGCGCCGCCAUCGUCUCCCUCCAGCCACCAUCAUGAUCAUCUACCGGGGCCUCAUCAGCCACAAUGAGAUGUUUUCCGUCGUAUACCAGAUCCGGGAGAUCGCGGACGGGCUGUGUCUGGAGGUGGAGGGGAAGAUGGUCAGUAGGACAGAGGAUAACAUUGAUGACUUGCUCAUUGGUGGAAAUGCCUCCGCUGAAGGGCCGGAGGGCGAAGGUACUGAAAGCACAGUAAUCACUGGUAUCGAUAUUGUCCUGAACCAUCACCUGCAGGAAACCAGCUUCACAAAGGAAGCCUACAAGAAGUACAUCAAAGAUUAUAUGAGGUCAAUCAAAUUGAAGAACAGAGACCAGAAAGAGUAAAACCUUUUAUGACAGGAGCUGCAGAACAAAUCAAGCACAUCCUUGCUAAUUUCAAAAAUUAUCAGUUCUUUAUUGGUGAAAACAUGAAUCCAGACGGCAUGGUUGCUCUGCUGGACUACCGUGAGGAUGGUGUGACUCCAUAUAUGAUUUUCUUUAAGGAUGGCUUAGAAAUGGAAAAAUGUUAACAAAUUUGGCCGUUGGGAUCGGAUCUAUCACCCGUCGUCAUAACUGGCUGGCCACUGCUUUUCAUCCACAAAACACCAGGACUUAGACAAGUGGGACUGAUGGCAUCUUGAGCUCGUUAUUUUGACACUGAUUUUUCUUUGGAGCGGAGGCAUUGUUUUUGAGGAAAAAAAAACAUGUCAUGUAGAUUGUCUAAAAAUAAAAUGCAUUUAAACUCAAAAAAAAAAAAA